CCUUUCAUCUUUGUACCUAGAUUUGUUUGAUCUUCAAACUGUUUAUUUAUUUGUGCUAUGAUUUCUUUCUUAUUAAAUACUAUCAUUUAAGGACUCUGGUAGUUAUUGGAGAUUCAAAACGGGGAAACUUUAUGAUGCCCAUUUGGUAAAUUGUUAUACUUGGGAUUUAUAUUUGAGUCUGGCAGAGCUAAGGGUGGAAUGGUUAUGUAGGAUGGAGUUAGGUUUUAGAAUUUGGAGUAUGCCCUAAUGUUACAUUCAUAGGAUACAAUCAACUAUCUUUGAGUCAGGGAAAGAAGAAUUCUAAAUUGCUUUUCCUUUUGCUUCUUUGAGCUCAUUUGCACUCUCUGGAAUGAUGCUUCUUUAGCCAAAUCAGACAUUUUGAUGCGCUCCAUAAGUAAUCCUCUUCAAAGCUUAUUUUCUUGUUAUUAUAGAGGUCCAGUGGUGAACUCUUAGUAAUGGUGAUCAGCUUUGAAUGGAUGCCUUUUGUUGAAGCGCAUCCUCUGAUGAUACCCUUGGGAUUGGUUGCUUGCUGACCAGA